UCUCCUCUAUGCCGGCCUUUGAAAUUGGCCUCGAAAAAUCACGAGGAACAUCCAAGGCAGGUGCCUAAACCGAACCGUCGAAUCUGUAAAUCUGUACCAGUACCAGUUUGAACCAGGGGAUGGUUGGUUGUUUACGUGUGCUGUUAAUGAGUUCAUUCUGCUCUCUAACUCAUUGAAUUUUUGGAUGUCAAUCAACAAGCUUCCCCUCACUGACUGAUUGAUUGAUUGAUUUUUGGCCGGUGCUAGCUUGUGUGUCUUGUGUCGGGCGAGGGAGAGGGACGUAUGUGCAUACGGGGUUGCAGUGCAGAGGCGCCCGUGGUUUCAAGUUGCAGGGCCGGGAGAAAUUUCACGGCAACCAGGAGUAACAAUACUUUUGGUUACUUGGGAAUACGAUGAUGUUCUGGUGACGUGGAACAUGCUGAGAUUUGGACUUCAAUCCUUGAUUGUGCACGGGGAUUUCCGAAACGAGUAGAAGACUAAUAACUUCUACGACAUCAAAGAUCUCUGAGAUUUUAGAGUAUGCAUCAUAUUGAUUUACUUAUCAAUUUAUUCACACUUAUAUUGAGUUCAUGAUGGAAAUAUAUAUGAGUAUUUUCAUUGUAUGGAAUUCUUUUUAAUUACUACCAGAUGGAAUUUGGGAAUUAGUAUUACAAAGCUUCCAAAAUCACUGUGGUUAUACAGCUACUACAAAACUGGUUAAAAUCAGUGAUCUUCUAUAAUAUCUACAUGAUUGAUUACAACACUGCUCAUGUGAUUUGGUACUU